AGCAAUUCACGUACAUUAGAGAAAUGUCUCCCUCCUCACAAAACACAGACGGAGGCCGUCGUUCUCUCCGGCAAAGACCUCCCAGUGCCGCCAUAACCAUGUAUCUUCUUUCCGUUCAAUCCUUCCAUUCGUCCCCUAUUUUCUUGCUGUUCAACUUUGAGCACAUCACGACGUUGUCGUUGUUCUCGCGAUACCGAAAGGAUUGAAGAAGCACACUGAAGUUUGUUGAAGAUGAAUCGUGCGGCGAGUAAUGGACAUUGAAGCCGACGAGCGUGGUGACUGAAGAAGACGAUCUGAAGAUAGUUUGUUGCCGGUGAUGAUUAAACGGAGUCGCAGAUGAAGAUCGUGGUGAUGAAGAUGUGCUGAGCGAAGAGAAAUCAUAGAGGUAGAAGAUAAUCGGUGUUACAGGUUUGCUCCUCAAUUUCAAUUCCGUUGCGAAUUUCUUCGUGCAAUUUCUGUUGAAGUUCUGAAGAUGAUGGAUCGAAGUUGAUGAAGGUUGAAAUGAUUCGAGUUUGGAAGGUUGAAGGAUCUUGAGUGGUGAAUCGGUGGUGAGAUUUUGGUGUUAUGAAGAAGAUCAUGAAAGGUUCAAUGAUGGAGAAGGUUCAAGGUGAUGAAGAUUGAAGUGUGAGAGGGAUCGAUUGGUGAUUGAAGUUUGAAGGAGCGAUGAAGAUCCGAAUCGGUUUUGGAUGGCUCAAAUUGAUUGAAAGUCUUGCCGAAAAAACGUGGAGCUGCCGGUGUUGAAGACUUGAAAGCAUUCCCUGAAAACUUAGUCUUAGUGCAAAUAUGUAUGGGGUUGGAUUUGAAUGUAUAUGAGUUUUCUUCUUGUAGAUUGCAUUCCAAACAAAUCAAAAAUGAAUUAAUCUUCCAUCUCGACAUAUCUUAAAGAAACUCGAUCCAAUAUUUGAAUUGUACCGAACCCACAACGUCACUUGAAUGAACUUCAAUUCAACGAAAUC